AAGGGGUGGGUUCUGCUCAUCUCUGUAUAUGUUAGCUUGAAAACCAAUGGCGGGCUUGCUCGUCUUAAGUUGGUGAAUCAUGACAUAUGUCGGAUCGCACGGUCUCGUACUGGCGACGUUUCAUUCGAAUUUCUGACCUAUCAACUUUGGAUUGUAGUAUAGAGGACUACAAUGGUGAUAACGGGUAACGGAGAAUUAGGGUUCGGUUCCGGAGAGGGAGCCUGAGAAAUGGCUGCCACAUCUAUGGAUGGCAGCAGGCGCGCAAAUUACCCAAUCUCUAAAAGAGGAGGUAGUGAAGAUGAAUAACAAGCGUUGCGUGAUUUCACGUGACGUAUUGGAAUGAGUACAAUGUAAAAAACUUAACGAGUAGCCAGUUGAGGGCAAGUCUGGUGCCAGCAGCCGCGGUAAUUCCAGCUCAACUAGUGUAUGCUAAAGUUGUUGCGUCUAAAUCGCUCGUCGUUGGAUUUUGGGAGCGUCAAAUCAAAUGGCGCGUUGGCCUGCCCGCAAGGGUGUGUGCCGCGCGCGCGCUCUUAUGCACUUUUCGUUUGUGGGCUGGUGCUAUUAACUUGGCGCCAACAUCGCACGAGAACGUUUCCUGUGAAAAAAUUAGAGUGUUCAAAGCAGGGAAGUUUCACCUAUUGAAUAUCGCAGCAUGGGAUAAUGAAAUAUGACCACCGCACGGUGUGUUUGUUGGUUUUAACCGCGGAGGUAAUGAUUAAUAGGAGCGUUGGGGAUAUUCGUACUCCGCAGUCAGAGGUGAAAUUCUAUGAUUUGCGGAAGACGAACUACUGCGAAGGCAUUUAUCAAGGACGCUUUCAUUGAUCAGGAACGAGAGUUAGGGGAUCGAAGAUGAUCAGAUACCGUCGUAGUCCUAACCUUAAACGAUGCCGGCCAGGAAUCCGGAGACGUUAAUAUGGAUGACUCCCCGGGAGCCUUCUGAGAAGUCAUAAGCUUUUGGGUAACGGGGGGAGUAUGGUCGCAAGGCUGAAACUUAAAGGAAUUGGCGGAAGGGCACCACCAGGAGUGGAGCUUGCGGCUUAAUUUGACCCAACACGGGAAAACUUACCAGGUCCAGACAACGGAAGGAUUGACAGAUUGAGAGCUCUUUCAUGAUUCGUUGGGUGGUGGUGCAUGGCCGUUCUUAGUUCGUGGAGUGAUUCGUCUGCUUUAUUGCGAUAACGAGCGAGACCAUAACCUGCUAAAUAGCUACGCCAGCCGUCUGAUAUGGGGUGAAAGCGUCGGAAUGGGGCGGCCUUAACCGGUCGUUUCCGCUGGCGUCGGAUCCUCUGAUGCGCUGUGCGGCCAGGC
rnacentral:rRNA from 1 species